rnacentral:rRNA from 1 species
AAAGGUGGCCUCUACCUGUAAGCUAUCGCCUGAAGAGGGGUUUGCGUCUGAUUAGGCAGUUGGUGAGGUAACGGCCCACCAAACCUACGAUCAGUAGCCGGUCUGAGAGGAUGAACGGCCACACUGGAACUGAGACACGGUCCAGACUCCUACGGGAGGCAGCAGUGGGGAAUCUUCCGCAAUGGGCGAAAGCCUGACGGAGCAACGCCGCGUGAGUGAUGACGGCCUUCGGGUUGUAAAGCUCUGUGAUCGGGGACGAACGGACAGGAAGCUAAUAACUUCCUGUAGUGACGGUACCCGAAUAGCAAGCCACGGCUAACUACGUGCC